GCGAUCCAGGUAUGAGCGAUCCAGGUACGAGCGAUCCACGAGCCAUCCAGGUACGAGCGAUUCCCUGAGCGAUCCAGGUAUGAGCGAUCCAGGUACGAGCGAUUCCCUGAGCGAUCCAGGUAUGAGCGAUCCAGGUACGAGCGAUCCAAGAGAGAUCCAGGUACGAGCGAUCCACGAGCCAUCCAGGUACGAGCGAUUCCCUGAGCGAUCCAGGUAUGAGCGAUCCAGGUACGAGCGAUCCAAGAGAGAUCCAGGUACGAGCGAUCCACGAGCCAUCCAGGUACGAGCGAUUCCCUGAGCGAUCCAGGUAUGAGCGAUCCAGGUACGAGCGAUCCACGAGCCAUCCAGGUACGAGCGAUUCCCUGAGCGAUCCAGGUAUGAGCGAUCCAGGUACGAGCGAUCCACGAGCCAUCCAGGUACGAGCGAUUCCCUGAGCGAUCCAGGUAUGAGCGAUCCAGGUACGAGCGAUCCACGAG